rnacentral:pre_miRNA from 1 species
AACCUUUUGAAUCCGUGCUGAGAUUUCGUCAGACACCGACCCAUUAAGGCUGAUUGGACUCCCAAGAUAGGUGAAGUC